UACGUAGGUGGCAAGCGUUGUCCGGAAUUAUUGGGCGUAAAGGGCUCGCAGGCGGUUUCUUAAGUCUGAUGUGAAAGCCCCCGGCUCAACCGGGGAGGGUCAUUGGAAACUGGGAAACUUGAGUGCAGAAGAGGAGAGUGGAAUUCCACGUGUAGCGGUGAAAUGCGUAGAGAUGUGGAGGAACACCAGUGGCGAAGGCGACUCUCUGGUCUGUAACUGACGCUGAGGAGCGAAAGCGUGGGGAGCGAACAUG
rnacentral:rRNA from 1 species